GCCUCUGUAGUGUAGUGGUAGUACACGUUCCCCGUAUUGGAUGAAACACGGGUUUGACUCCUGUCUGAGGUC